AUUACCCAGCGUUGCAGGGUUCUAAAUGCGACGGUGUGUCAACCGCAGAGUGGCUGCGGAUAUAUAAAUUAAAUCGAACAUACAGGAGGAGAAG
rnacentral:ncRNA from 1 species